CACCACCCCCCCCCCCCCCCCUCUCCUGACCGCUGUGCUACGCCACCGAACAUGCACAAAUCCUCCAACCGCCCAAAGCCCUCUUCCUUGCCGACAAACGCCCCAUACAUGGUUCACGAGAAAGGUGCUGUUGUGGCUAAUAAAGAGAUUUACAAUAAGGAUACUUGGAGUGCAAGGCUUUGGUUAUUAUGUUUAGAUACUAUGAUGUUAUAUGCCUGCUUUGGUUGCGUUAUUUUAUUUACAACCUUGGACAAAAAUGGUUGGGAUAACUAGGGCUUAUGGUAAAAUGACUUCUACCUGUUUGAUUAAAAACUUGUAUGAAGAAAUGGAGCUGCACAUUGGGAUGUCUAAUUCGAUUGCUUCUGAUGUUCAUGGGAAUGAUAAGUUGGAGUUGUAAAACUAGGUGUUUGAUGCUGUUUUGGUUCAUAAUUUAAUGGUACAGAUGAUUUACAAUGGGACGGAGGCAGUGGGCUUGGAGGGGUCGGUGCACGGUGAUCGGUAGCACUAUGGAUGGUGUACAAUGGUCCGACAUUGAGGGAUUGUUGAGAAAGGAAGAUAUGGUGCUGGUAUAGCAAUAUGAAAGGUGCAUCAUAAUAACAUGACUUGAUUAAUCUAAAAAUCAAUGAGUCCGUUUGAAUAUAAAUUAAAAAUAUUUUUAUGAGUUUGUCUAUUAAAAAUAAAAAAUAUUUUUUAAUAGAAAGAUUUUUAAAAACA